rnacentral:tRNA from 1 species
GCGAGUGUGCGUAAGGUACGCGCUCGGCCUUCCAAGCCGUAGAUAGGGAGUUCGAUUCUCCUCACUCGCUCCA